GCCUCCGCCGCGAUCGCGGCCAGCCGGGGCCGACGCACCGAGCCGCCGCCCCUGUCACGCCGGGGCAGCGGCCGCCGAACGCUGCCCCGCGGCCCCCCCGCCUCCUCCCCCUGCGCCCGCGGAGCCGCGGGCGACGCGCAGGCAAAAAUCCCUUUCAUGACCAAGGAAGGAGGCAACAACAUUUUUACAGCCCUGAGAAGUGCCUGUUACUAGAAAUGAUUUUCACUUUGUUCCUGAAAAGCAUGCCAAGUUUACUGAUGCCUGAGGCACAGCAGAAUUUUUCCCCAGCAUUUCAUGCCACAUGAUGCCAGACAGAAGGAAGCUGCACAACCUGCUGCUGUAGAUCAGCCUUUGUUCUGGGGAGGAAGGAAAGGAUGCAUUUAGCCAUUGGACAUAUCUUUUGCAUAACACAGAACAGCAGGUGUUUGCUGGUGAUGUUACAAAUAGAAGCAGGCCUGGCAGGAGGGAGCAUGAGCUUUCCAGUGGAACCUGUGACAGCAGGGACCUGCUCCAGAAAACUUUGGAAGACUUUCACCUCAUUAUUUUGCCAAGUGUCUCACCUUGACUCUUCAGAUUUCUUUGAUCCUCUGAAGACUGAAAAUUACAGAACAAUGACAUUUAGUGACCUUUGGAGCCUCAACUGGGGCAUCUCUGAAUGGGAGACUCUGGACUGGUGA
rnacentral:lncRNA from 1 species